rnacentral:tRNA from 1 species
UCCCUGGUGAUCCAGUGGUUAGGAUUCUGUGCUUUAACAGCCCAGGACCUGGGUUCAAUCCCUGGUCGGGGAG